CAUUCUAGAGGCACUCGAUGCUGAUUUGCUGCAAGAUCUCCCAGCCCGAGGACGCUUGGCGUAGGUUGUGUCGCCGCUAUCGCUGUUACACUCCACCCGACGACCACUUGGACGAGUAGACGGGAAAUUGUAGUGACUAAGAGAAUUGGAAAUGAAAUCUAUGAAAAUGAGGAUUGAUGAUAGCAGCAUAAGCCUGUCCUUACGAGGUUACCUGAAGAUCUACAGCAUGUACACCAUUGAAUGAAGAUGUUGCUCUGGUCAAGACAGGUACCUGACCUCCAAGAACUUAGUGGCAAGCAAAUUAACUGCAUCCAAAGUAUGACUCAUUUUUCUCAUAUGAAUUGUGCUUAUGACGUGUUAAUGAAACUUUUUUAUAGAAUUAAUCUAUCAUGUAUGGACAUCGUUAACCAUUUUUUUAAUUACAUAGUACGACAAUCGCUAUUUACGUUUUUGCAUGACUUCCGGUUUUCUUGCAGCAUUGUUCAGUAAGUUUUUCUUUCAUACAUAGAAUACAAGCCACGAGAGAUGAUUUUGUGCACCUGGGCGUGCAUACACCAGGUUGAUUUGAAAUAGUAAAAACAUGCAUGUGUAAGUUCAUAGACGUUCUGAAAUGAUGUUGGAUAUUGUUGGAUGUUUGAACAUAUGAAAUUUGAGCCAAAAUUAUAUGUGUUUGAGUUCUCUGUAGGAGAAUAAAAGAGAGAGCGUCUAAAAUAGAUCAUGGAAAUAUACUCAAUUAGUUUAAUUCGUGGAGCAUGCAAAAUAAAAUUUAUUGGACGAACUUAGUUUAGAACAGUAUGUAUUCCUAAAUUGGACUGUACAAAACCCAAUUUUCGUUUUCUGCAUGUUGGUUACCUAGCUUCUAGGAAGACUGGUCGAAUAAUGUUUUUUCGUCGGUUCCUCUUUUGGGUAUGGACGUGGUAUGUGCCUGUCCCUGCAUACAUUUCAUCUUUUGUGGUUCAAGUAUUAUGUACCUACAGCUAAAUAUUAUUGGCUAGCCUCUAGGAAGACUGAUUGAAUAAAAAAAAUUCGUUAGUUCCUCUCUAAAGUCUUUUGGGUAUGGAUGUGGUAUGUGCCUGUCCCCGCACACAUUUCAUCUUUUGUGGUUCAAGUAUGUACCUACAGCUAAAUAUUAUUGGUGUGCUGCAAGUUUUAUCUAUUCUGUUUACUCACAGUUUUAUGUUGCAAGUAGAAGUAUAGUGGAUUGUCUCGUUGUAGCCAGGCGUGCGUUCUCUUCCAUCUAACCUAUCUCAUUAUUCCGGUUCACCAACUGAAAGAAUUAAUCAGUUUUGCCCGCCCUAUGGUUAACCAUGAGAAACCACCACCUGUUUUAGUGAUAAUCAUUUAAUAACAUGUUCUCUUUUUUUCAUGUCUAACUUUCUAUUCUGUAUACGGUAGUCGCUCCAUUUCUAAAUAUAUUAUGUUUUGGCAAGUCUUUUUAACUUACGAAAAAAUCUUAUGCUUAGAAACGGAGGGAGUAUAUACAUGUUCAUGCCUAUGAAUGUAAGAUCAUAACUAUCUUUGUGUGCUCACUAACAUUGUUGUGUUGAUAGUGUCAAAGCUUCGACUAAUGGGACCAAGUGGAAAAUUUAAUAAAAUUUGGGCAUCUCUUUAAUUUCACAAUUGCUGAGAGUGAUCAUUCUCUGAUUGAAAAAGUUCUAAGUUUUGCAUGAGGAUGUUUGUGUUCAGGUGGUAGUUAACUGUGGAUACCAUGCAAAGACUAUAUGGCUAAUGAUGAAUUGAUAGUGUCUAAACGGUUAUUUCAAUUUAUUUUUCUGCUUGGACUUCUGUAAAUACCUAGGCUACUAACUAUUUUUAUGAAAGCAUAUAUUUAGCUCAAAUGUGAGAUAUGUUGACUGUUCUGAUCCGAAUGAUUUUUGUUUCUGAAUUUUUCUUCAGAUAUUCGAGCUCAUAAACUUACAGAAGUCUGAUAACGAUGAAGUGGGAUCUUAGAUUAAAAACAUCAUGUUUGUACAAUAAACAGAUACUACUUAUGGUUGAUAAAAUAUUUAUGGUCUUCAUACUUGAAACAUGCGACCUUUAUAUCCCAUGUGGCUAAAUUGAUAUAAAAUUGUGUACUUUGUUGUC